GCCGAUGUGGCGGAACUGGCAGACGCGCUCGACUCAAAAUCGAGUGCCCGUGAGGGCGUGUGGGUUCGAGUCCCACCUUCGGCA
rnacentral:tRNA from 1 species